UACGGGGGGGGCAAGCGUUGUUCGGAAUUACUGGGCGUAAAGGGCUCGUAGGCGGCCAACUAAGUCAGACGUGAAAUCCCUCGGCUUAACCGGGGAACUGCGUCUGAUACUGGUUGGCUUGAAUCCGGGAGAGGGAUGUGGAAUUCCAGGUGUAGCGGUGAAAUGCGUAGAUAUCGGGAGGAACACCAGUGGCGAAGGCGACUACCUGGCCUGUUCUUGACGCUGAGGCGCGAAAGCUAGGGGAGCAAACGGG
rnacentral:rRNA from 1 species